rnacentral:lncRNA from 1 species
UUGAUCUUGGAUUCAGGAAAGCCUGGAUCUUUGGUUUUAUCAGGCUUCGAUUUGGCGGGGAAAUGCGCCCCGUAUGCGAGGCGAAUUAAUGCCGCUGUUACGGUAGCGGAUUUAGCAGCACGAUGGAUUUGGAGGGGGAAAUCUGUGGGCAUUAAUUGCUUACAAGUUGGGAGUUGCUGAUUCGAGUGAAGAAACAAGGUUGGCUAGUGAUUGAGAGUAGCUUGCUAGUUCUGCGCUUCGCUGAAUUCUGAGCUGAUAGGAACCAGAAUAUGGUGUUUGUAUAUAAAAAUUGCUGGUGGUUUCGAUUGCUGGAAUUGGGAGGAGGAUGGGAGCGAAGUUUCUUCUCAUUUUGGGUCCAUGACUAGGAUUUUUAAGUAUCAUGAGUGGGUCAACAGCGAUAUCACCACGAUUCCCAAAUUGAUAAAGUGCAGUACCUCACAUUGCCACAAGCAUAGAGUAAAUUAGUAUGUGGAGGGAACUACUUGAUUAGUACUACUCCGUUUUACAAUGUAAGACUUUCUAGCCUUGUCUAGAUUCAUAUGAAUACUAAUGAAUCUAGACAUACAUAUAAAUUAUAUAUAUUCAUCAAUUAAUGAUUUUAGAUAAGGCUAGAAAGUCUUACAAUAUUAAACGGAGGUAGUAUAUUUUUAGGAAGGUGUAUGUGUAGCUCGGCCUAGGUGUGCGAUCUUCCUGCCUCCCUGUAUAGCCAAUCACUCCAUUUAGGGCCACCUGAUUUGACAUUAGGCACUUGCGAUGGUAUAUCCUGACCUUGAGCGUGCGUGGAAUGUUCUCUCGUGUAGCUAUGUUUUUUGGGGGGCAAUGGCAUUCAGAAACGAAGGUUUUAGAGGAUUGACUGCUCCAGUAUCAGACAUAUGAAUCUUAGUUCAUUGAGGUAAACAUGGUGCUGUUUGCACUAGCGAAGCAAACAGUAGUUCCUUCACAUGACGAUAUGACAGGUUUUUUAACCUGACUAUAUGACAUGGUUGUUGACUAAUAGGCUCUGUGCUUAAGUGUUUUCAUCCAAGUUUGAAUUAUGUAAAUGAGUGUUAUGUGGUGGCAUUGUCUGCUAUAGUCUAUGGCUAGAACUUUUGUAAUGAUUGAUGGUUGAUUUCAUGCCUUGAGCAGAGGCCAGAAUAAAGACAUCUGUUUAUUGAAAAAAUGACAUAAUUGCUGGGCUUGUUUGGUUUCAAGGAAUUCCAACCCAUGGGAAUAGGAAUGCAUGCGCACAUCAAUCCAUGAGAAUUUUUCCAGAGGUUUAAGUGGAUGCAAAAUUUCUUGUUCCCUCUCUACACACUUGUAGGAAAGGAAACUUUCCUUUGGUUUUACUAUACUUCAUUCCUACAAACUGAAUAACACGUAUAGGAAUUAAUCCUUAGGACUCAAAAUCCUUUGUUUUUCCUCCAAACUGAACAAGGAUACUGUUUGAUUUUUCUUGGGAUGCAGUCGAGACAUUGCGAUGUAUUUUUUUGGGAUGUCUUUGCCCAAGAUUGCCCUUAAAAAGUAGAAUCUGGUGCCUACAUGCCAAAAUGCUUUACUUAUCAUAUAGAUAAUUAGUUAUUUAUCUAUGAUGGUGAUCUAGUGAUCUACUUUAGCUUAAAGCUUUGAUUUCUGCGGACUGGUGUCUGCAAGAAGUACAGCAAAUAGAAG